UCGAGAAUCUUCCGCAAUGGGCGAAAGCCUGACGGAGCGACGCCGCGUGCAGGAUGAAGGCCCUUGGGUUGUAAACUGCUGUCAGAGGGGAUGAAAUCAUGGUUGGCUAUCCUUCCAUGUUGACAAAGCCUCAAAGGAAGCACGGGCUAAGUACGUGCCAGCAGCCGCGGUAACACGUACUGUGCGAACGUUAUUCGGAAUCACUGGGCUUAAAGGGUGCGUAGGCGGUUAAUCAAGUCAGAUGUGAAAUGCCUGAGCUCAACUGAGGCACGGCGUUUGAAACUGAUUAACUUGAGGAUUCCAGGGGUAUGCGGAACUGCCAGUGGAGCGGUGAAAUGCGUUGAUAUUGGCAGGAACACCAGUGGCGAAGGCGGCAUACUGGGGGAUCACUGACGCUGAGGCACGAAAGCCAGGGUAGCGAACGGGAUUAGAUACCCCCGUAGUCC
rnacentral:rRNA from 1 species